rnacentral:tRNA from 1 species
ACUACCCCAUUGCCUUGUAGUAUAUACUUUAUUACUGUAAACUGCAACUUUACCAAAACAAAAGUCAAGACAU